CUCCCACCUCAGCCUGCCAAAGUGCUCAGAUUACAGGUGUGUGCCCAGCCACGGCGCAAACUUCUGAGGACCUACUGCCAACCAGCUAUCCUAAGAUGCUGCAGAGGGUUCCUGCAUUUAGCGAGGAUGCUGCAUGAGAUACUCUCUACCUCCUGGCUGACACUGGCCCCAUGGAAAGUGAUACCGAUAUCUAGCGAGUGUCCACAUGAGUCCGUAAAUGAGGUAAGUGAAACUGAAUCCGUCAUUGUCUGGCUUAUCUAUGUAGCUCAAAUUAACCAAGAGUUAUUUUAAAUAAAACUAAAAUAAAUUAGGAAAAAAGUAACAGAUAUUUUAGCUCCUUUAGAAGUUAAGGCUUCACUUACUAAAAUAGAAGAACCUUGCUCACCACUGUAAGAAACGUAUCAUGAACUGAGAUUAUCCGAGAGUUAAUCUAGGUUUAAUCAAAAUGAUUUUUGUUGCACAGCACUACUAUACCCUAAAAUAGUGCUGUGCGACACUUUUUAUUCUACAAAAUUAUCCAAAACAACACUCGUUUUUAAAAAGAGCAACCAUUACACACGUACACAGGGCUGAGCAGAUGCUAACAGGACGUGUUAGUGAGAAGUGUAUUUCCUACAGAAGCCUGAAGGUGACUGCCAUGAACAGGUACUGAAUUUAAUCAAGUAUUUUUUUAGCAUCCAUUAUAUCCUUUUUCUUAUUCAUUGUUAUUUACAAUGGUUUUCAAAUGUUAAAUCAAUAUUGCAUUCCAAAAAUAAACCCAACUUGGUCAUCAUGUAUUAUUGGUUUUACAUAUUGCUGGAUUUGAUUUGUUAGUAUUUUGUUUGGAAGCUUUAUUUUCAUGAAACAGAAUGGCCUAAAUUUCUAUUUCUUGUGAUGUCUUUGUUAGAUUUUUGCAUCAGGAUUUUGCUGGACUUAGAGAAACAGUUGGAAAGCCUUCCUUCUUCUUCUGCUCUCUGGAAGAAAGGGCGUAGCACAGCUGCUGGUUCCUCCUUCGGUGUCUGGAAAAACUCACAGGGAAGCCCUCUGAUCCUGAGGUUUCCUUGUGGGCAGAGUUUUCAUUUCAGAUUCAAUGUCUUCAGUAGACAUGGAACCAUUCAAGGUUUCUAGUUUUCUAUUUCUUCAUACUUCAGUCUUAUUAGGUUGUAUUUUUCAAGGAAUGUGUUCAUUUUACCUGAAAUUUUCAUGGCACGCAUUUUACUUGAAGUUUCAAAUGUAUUGGUAUAAAUAUUCCCUCAUCUCUUUAGUCUGCAUUAUCUAUGUAUACAGAUGUCCCUUUUUCAUGCUGUAUACUGGCAAUUUGUGCUUUCUGCUUUUCUUCAUCAAUUUAGUAACAGGUUUAUCAGUUUUAUUCAUCUUUUCAAAUUAACUUAAAAAAAAGGACUUUAUGUUUUUAGAACAGUUUUAGGUUCACAGCAAAAUUGAGAGGAAGGUACAGAGAUUUCCCACAUACCCUCUGCUUCUCUACAGAUCAGUGCCUCCACCCGCCAAUCCCUGGAGGACACAUUUGUUACAAUCGGCAAACCCACACUGACAUGUCCCUCAAGUCCACAGUUGACACGAGGGUUCACUCUUGGUGGUGUACAUUCUGCGAGUUUGGACAAAUGUGUAAUGACCUGGAGCCACCAUGAGAGCAUCAUCUGGAGCAGGCACACUGCCCUAAAGCCCUCCCGCCUGCCUGCUCAGCCUCCCUCCCCUGAGCCCCUGGCAAUCACUCAUCUUUCUACUGUUUCCAUAGUUCUCCCUUUUCCAGUCUUCCUAUAGCUGGAAUCAGACAGUAGGCAGCUUUUUCAGAUUGGCUUCUGUCACUUAGUAACAUGCAUUUAAGUUUCCUCCAUGUCUUUUCAUAGCUUGAUAGACGUAUUUUUAGUACUGAAUAACAUUCCACUGUCUGGAUGGACCACAGUUCGUUCAUCUAAUCACCCACUGAAGGACAUCUUGGCUGCUUCCAAGUUUUGGUAGUUAUGAAUAGGGUUGCCGAAACUUCUAUGUACAGGUUGUGGUGUGGCUGCAGCAAGGGGCGCAGCUACUGGACUGUGUGUUAAGACCUGUUUAGCUUUGUUAAGAAACCACCUCAUGGCCAUCCAGAGUGGCUUCACCACUUUGAAUUCCCACCAGCAAGGAGGGAGAACUCCUGCGAAUGACAUAAAAAAAACCUUUCUCUAUUCUCCAUUUGUUUCCUAUUUCACUAGUUCCUGCUUUUACUAUUUCCUUCCUACCUACCACACUCCCUGAGUUUGAUUUUUUAUUAAUUUAUAGAGAUGUAUACUUAGAUCAUUGAUUUUCAGCCUUUUUUUUAAAGUAUAUUCAUUUAAUUCUACAAAUUUCCUUCUCAGAACAGCUUUCAGCUUCAUCCCACACAUUUUUUAUGGACAAUAUUUUCACUGUCAUUCAAAAUAUUUUAUAAUGCCCACUGUGGUUUCUGCUUUUUCCCUGUGAAUUAUUUAGAAGUGUACUAUUUUAAUUUCAAAUAACAGAAUUUUUACUUAUUGUUAUUACUGAUUUCUAGCUUACUGUGGACAGAAAAAAGAGGGAUGCUUUCAAUUGUUUGAAAUUUGCUGAAGCUUGCUUUAUGAGCUGUCAUCUAGUCAAUUCUGGUAGAUUUCCCAUAUGCACUGGAGAAGUGUUUACUCUAUAGCUUUUGGGUGCAGGAUUCUAUAUGUCCGUUAGGAUGAGUGUGUUCACUGUGUUCAAAAUGUGUUCAACAAUUCGAAUCCAUACUAACCUUCUGUCUGUUUGUCCUAUCAGCUCUUGAGAGAGGCUUUGUUAAAGCUCCAUAGACUUCCUCUGCAGGGGCCAGACAGUGAAGAGUUUAGGCUUCACUGGCCCCCUACAGUUUCUGUUAGAUAUUCUUUUUUAAACCAACCCUUUAAAAACUCCAAAAAGCAUUCUUAGCUCACAGACCCACACAAAAGCAGGCCAAAGGCCAGACUUGGCCUACUGGCUACAGUUUGUGGACCCCUGUGCUCACACGUCCCACUGUGAUUACAGAUAUGUCUGCUUCGUUUUUCAGUUGUGUCAGUUUUCAUCUGAUGCAUCUGGAAACUGUGCAUACUAACUUACAGAUCUAGAGAAUCCGGAAAUAAUCCUGGGGCGCUGACCUUUCUUCUCAAAUGUCCCUUCUUCCUCUCAUGGCCAUUUCUACCUGAAGUCCACUUCUGAUGCAGGCGCACUGGUUUCUUUGGGUUAGCAGCUGCACGGAACAGCUUUUUCUGUCCUAAAACUUUUAAUUUCCCAGUGUCCCUGAGACCUUAGGUAUCUGUUUGGUUGGUGAUUUAUUUUUUAAUUUUUAUUUUGAAACGACUAUAGAUUCACAGGAGUUGACAAAGAUAGGAUAGAGGGCCCCAUGUAUCCUUCACCAAGGGUAACAUCUGACAUACUACAGGGCAAUAUCCAAACCAGGAAGCUGGCAUCAGUGCCAUCCACAAUCCUUAUUCAGGUUCUAGGCAAUUUCAAAACCUGGUGGGUUUGUGUAGCCCCUGCCACUACCAUCAAGAAACAAAACUGUCUCUCCACAUAAGACCUCCCUUGUGCUGUCCCAAAUCCCUGGCAACUUAAUCUGUUAUCCAUCUCUUUAUCCUGUCAUUUUCAGAAUGUAACAUAAAUAGAAUCAUGUAAUAUGUGACCUUUUGGGAUUGGCUUUUUUACUCAGUAUAAUUCCCUUGAGAUCCAUUCAGGUGGUUCCAAGCGUCAGCCACUCACCAAGCGCCAGCCACUCAUUCCUCUUUAUUGCCGAGUUGUGCUUCAUGGCAUGGAUGCACCAGCCUGUUAAACAUUCGUCCAUUUAAAGACAUCUGGGUUGCUUCCAACCUGUGCUACUACAAAUACAGCUGCUAUGAAUAUUCAUGCACAGGUUUUUGAAUGAACCUAAGUUUUCAUGCCCAGGCAUGUGAUUGCUAGUUCAGAUGGUAAGUGCAUUAUUAGUUUUUUAAGAAACGGCCAAACUGUUUUCCAGAGUGACCGACACCAGCCAUGUAAGAGGCUAGUGUAUAAGGACUGCAUCCUCGCCAGAAUUUGGUGGUGUCACUAUUUUAUUUUUAAUUUUAGCUGCUCUAAUCCGUGUGUAGUGCUAUCUCACUGUGGUUUUAAUUUGCAUUUCCCUAAUGGUUAAUUAUGUUGAACAACUUUUCAUGUACUUAUUUACCAUCUGAAUGUCUUUGGUAAAAUGUCUAUCUUUGGCCUACUUUCUAACUGGAUUGUUUUUAAUGUUGAGUUCUGAGAUUCUUUAUAUUUUCUAGGUAUAAGAUCUCUGUCAGACAGGAGGUUUGCAAGUAUUUUCUCCCUGGCAGUAGGUUGUCUUUUCCUUAUCCUAAUAGAGCGACAUUUUUAAUUUUGAAUUUAAAAUGUUGAAUUAAAAAUGUUUCCAAUUUAUCAACUUUUCCUUUUAUAGAUUAUGCUUUUGGUAUGAAGUCUAAGAACUCUUUGCCUGACCCUAGAUACCAAAGAUCUUCUAUUUUUUUCCCAAAAGUGUAAUAGUUUUAUGUUUUACAGUUAAUUUCAUUUUCCAUUUGAGUUAAUUUUACAAAAGUGUGAGGCCAAAGACAAGGUCCUUUUUUUUUUUUUUUCUUUUUUUGGCUUAUGGGUAUCCAGUGCUCCAGUCACAUUGGCUAAAUAGGCUGCCUUCCUCCAAUGAGUUGCUUUUGCACCUUGUCCAAAUCCACUGGUGGUACUUGUGUGGGUCUAUGUCUGGGUUCUCUAUUCUGUUUCAUUGACCUUGUGUCUGUCCCUUCACCAACACUAUACUGUCUUGAUUACUGCAGUUAUAUAGCAAGGUAUGUUAUCAAAUACAGUGAUUCUGCCCAUUUUCUUUUUCUUUUUCAAGAUUAUUUUCGUGACUUUUAGUUUCACUGCCCUUCCAUACAAAUUUUAGAAUAAUCUUGCGCAUCUACAAAAAAAUACCUUGCUGGGAUUUUUGCUAGCAAGUACAUCAAACCUGUACAUCAGUCUGGAGGGAACCCACGUCUCUGCUGAGCCUUCCAGUACAUGAACACGGCAAACACAUCAGAGCAUAAGUGGUUCCUAAUGCCAAGCUGACCUCCCUUGAUCUCUGUCUUCUACAGGAUAUUGACAUGGGACUUCUUUAUUACCUUUUCAGUUCACUGAUACCUUCAAAUAGCUUUAUUUAAAAAAUGUUUUGCUAGCUUUUCUAUUUGUCUUCAACCAGAAAGUGAGUCCAAAUUAUCUCAGUCUUCUAUUCCUGGAGGCAGCUC